UGGAACCCUGGAGGUAUCAAAGAGAAGAAGGUUCCUGCUGUGCCCAAACCCUUAAGAAAAAGCAAAGGAAUUUUGCAGAGCUGAACAUCGAGCACCUGAGAAAGAAUUUUGCCUAAAAGAUGCUUUGAAAGGCAAGGAGGAAGCUUAUCUACGAAAAAACGAAGCAUUGUCACAGGAAAUACAGACAUAUAUACAGAACUGAAAUUCAAAUGGCUUGGAUGGCAAGAAAAGCUGACAACUUCUAAGUACCUGCAGAACCCAAAUUGGCGUUUGUCAUCAGGAACAGAGGUAUCAAUGAUGUGAGCCCAAAGGUCUGAAAGGUGUUGUAGCUUCUUUGCCUUUGUCAAAUCUUCAGUGGAAUCUUUGUUAAGCACAACAAGACUUCAAUUAACAUGUUGAGGAUCGUAGAACCACAUAUUGCAUGGGGGUAACCAAGCCUGAAGUCAGUAAAAAUCUACAAGCCUGGUUAUGGCAAAAUCAGUAAGAAGCGAAUUGCCUUGGCAGAUAACACGUUGAUUGCUCGAUCUCUUGGUAAAUAUGGCAUCGCCUGCAUGGAGGAUCUGAUUCAUGAGAUCUAUACUGUUGGAAAACACUUAAAAGAAGCUAAUAACUUCCUGCGGCUCUUCAAAUUAUCCUCUCCAUGAGGUAAAAUGAAGAAAAAGACCACCUAUUUUGUAGAAGGUGGAGAUGCUGGCAACAGGGAAGACCGGAUCAAUAGGCUUCUUAGGAGAAUGAA
rnacentral:lncRNA from 1 species